rnacentral:rRNA from 1 species
GACGAACGCUGGCGGCGUGCUUAACACAUGCAAGUCGAACGGAGAGGCCCUGCUUUUGUGGGGUGCUCGAGUGGCGAACGGGUGAGUAACACGUGAGUAACCUGCCCUUGACUUUGGGAUAACUUCAGGAAACUGGGGCUAAUACCGGAUAGGAGCUCCUGCUGCAUGGUGGGGGUUGGAAAGUUUCGGCGGUUGGGGAUGGACUCGCGGCUUAUCAGCUUGUUGGUGGGGUAGUGGCUUACCAAGGCUUUGACGGGUAGCCGGCCUGAGAGGGUGACCGGCCACAUUGGGACUGAGAUACGGCCCAGACUCCUACGGGAGGCAGCAGUGGGGAAUAUUGCACAAUGGGCGGAAGCCUGAUGCAGCAACGCCGCGUGCGGGAUGACGGCCUUCGGGUUGUAAACCGCUUUCGCCUGUGACGAAGCGUGAGUAACGGUAAUGGGUAAAGAAGCACCGGCUAACUACGUG